rnacentral:rRNA from 1 species
AGAGCAUCCUACGGGAGGCAGCAGUGGGGAAUAUUGCUACAAUGGGCGCAAGCCUGAUGCAGCCAUGCCGCGUGUAUGUAAGAAGGCCUUCGGGUUGUAAAGUACUUUCAGUCAGUGAGGAAGGUGGAUAUGUUAAUAGCAUAUUCAUUUGACGUUAGCUGCAGAAGAAGCACCGGCUAACUCCGUGCCAGCAGCCGCGGUAAUACGGAGGGUGCGAGCGUUAAUCGGAAUUACUGGGCGUAAAGCGCAUGCAGGUGGUUUGUUAAGUCAGAUGUGAAAGCCCGGGGCUCAACCUCGGAAUUGCAUUUGAAAACUGGCAAACUAGAGUACUGUAGAGGGGGUAGAAUUUCAGGUGUAGCGGUGAAAUGCGUAGAGAUCUGAAGGAAUACCGGUGGCGAAGGCGGCCCCCUGGACAGAUACUGACACUCAGAUGCGAAAGCGUGGGGAGCAAACAGGAUUAGAUACCCUGGUAG